UUUUCUAUUAAAAAUUAUUACUGUAAAUACCUCGCAGUGGGCAAACUCUUUGAUUUCUUAAUGUUCUUACAAGUGCACUCUUAGAAAAGUCCUACCUUGGUACUAAGUAUUGAUUUCAAAGCUCCAGUUGCAAGAACAUGGAUCCAAAAUGUGCCAAAAGUGCCAUAUUUUCUGGAGAUAAUGGAGAAGGUUCUUCGACUAAAUUAUUCUUUUGCUGCUCUGUCAUUACUUGUGAGAAGCAUUUAGGGCACAGAGAGAGAGCAGUAUUGAUAGCAAUGACACAGAAUGAUAACUUAUGGGUUCUUUAGGCUCCACCACACCACUAAAUCGUGUCUCUCAGAGCAACAUUAAGCUUUUCUUGAACACCUGCAGGGAUGGUGACUCCAUCACCUUCCUGGGCAGCCUGAUCCAAUGCUUCACUAUCAUUUCUGAGAAGAAAUGUUUCCCAGUAUCCAACCUGAACCUCCGCUGACUCAGCUUAAAGCCAUUACUUCUUGUUCUGACUCUAAUUACCUGGGAGAAGAGGCCAAUCCCCGCAGUUGUGUUUGUCCUUGGUCUAUUAGUCUGACUUCGAUCCAUGAGUCUGAAAGAAUAAUUAAAAACAUGAAGGAACUUCCCAGAAAAGUGCAAAGAAGAUUGCUGCUAUCUGGAGAAUGCCGAGGGUUAUUAUUUGUUUAAUUAUUUGUGGAGAAUGUCUCUCCAGAAAGUUUUAAGACUUCCAACAAAUAAUACCAAUACGCAGCUCAAAUAAACAAAGCAUACUCUUUCCUGAAAGGAACUGCAAGUGCACC
ensembl:lncRNA